rnacentral:rRNA from 1 species
AUGGAGGACGGCCGGAGCGACGCCAAGGAGGCCAGCAUGGUCGAGCUGGCCUUGUCCUUGGAGAAGGUCCGCCAGAUCGAGGGCGGCGGCGACAAUGCCGACGGCCAGAAGAAGCUGUGGGGGCUCCUCCGUCUGUUCAUGGCCUGCAUGGUCUCCGGCGGCAUCCAGUACGGCUGGGCGCUGCAGCUCUCCCUCCUCUCGCCCUACUCCCAGACGCUUGGGAUUCCCCACCAGUACGUUUCCCUAACCUGGAUUUGCGGUCCCAUCGCUGGAUUUGUGGUGCAACCCAUCGUCGGCUACUACAGCGACCGGUGCACCGCCAGGAUGGGCCGGCGGCGGCCCUUCAUCCUCGUCGGAUGCCUCAUAAUCUGCGUCUCGGUGCUCCUCAUUGGCUUCUCUGCGGACAUCGGGCGCGCGCUCGGCGACACCAAGGAGCACUGCAGCGUGAGUACGGGCCCACGAUGGGCCGCCGCCGCCAUCUACAUUGUUGGCUUCUGGUUCCUCGACUUCGCCAACAACACCGUCCAGGGGCCGGCUCGUGCCAUGAUGGCCGAUCUUUCCGCUGGGAACCAUGGCCCCAACGUCGGCCAGGCGGUCUUCUGCCUCUGGAUGGCCAUCGGCAACGUCCUCGGCUACACGGCCGGCGCCAACGGCAAGUGGCACGAGUGGUUCCCUUGGCUGAAAUCUUCGGCGUGCUGCGACGCGUGCGCAAACCUCAAGGGCGCCUUCCUCACCGCUGUGAUCCUCAUCGUCAUCAGCAUGACGGUCACCAUGUACCUCGCCGGCGAGAAGCAGCUCGACAAGGCCGACGUGCAGGCCGCCUCCGGCCGCGGGUGCUUCUCCGCCUUCGGCGACCUCUUCAAGAGCUUGAGGAACCUUCCCCCUUCCAUGUUCAAAGUGCUCGCCGUCACGGCCAUUACCUGGCUCGCCUGGUUCCCCUUCUUCCAGUACGACACCGACUGGAUGGGCCGGGAGAUCUACCACGGCGUGCCGCAGGGCCCCAAGUCGUCCGUCUACGACGCCGGCGUCCGCGAGGGCGCCAUCGGCCUGCUCCUCAGCUCCAUCACCCUCGGGGCCACCUCCUUCCUCAUCCCCAAGCUCUGCCGCAAGCUCACGUCCAAGGUCGUCUGGUCCAUCAGCAACUUCAUGGUGUUCGGCAUCAUGACGGCGAUGGUCGUCGUCGGCCUGAUCUCCACCAAGGGGUACAACCUCAAGGCCAUCGCGCUCACGCUCUUCGCGCUCAUCGGAAUCCCGCAGGCCGUACUGUUCAGUGUGCCAUGGGCUGUUGCUUCUGAAGUCGUUGCCGCGGAGGAGGAUGAUGGCCAAGGCCAAGGCCAAGGCCUCGCCAUUGGUGUCCUCAACAUUGCCAUCGUCGUGCCGCAGCUGAUCAUCGCGCUCACCGCCGGCCCCAUCGACAAGGCCUUCGGGAAGGACAACACGCCGGCGUUCGGCAUUGGCGGCGCCUUCGCCUUCAUCUGCGCCAUCCUGGCGCUCAUCCUGCUGCCCAAAACAAGGGGCAAUUCCAACGCCGCCGUCAUGGCCGGAGGGCACUGA